CCCUGUACUAUGAGAUAUCUGGUCUCUCUCUCUCUAGGUUCCCCCUGUACUAUGAGAUAUCUGGUCUCUCUCUCUCUAGGUUCCCCCUGUACUAUGAGAUAUCUGGUCUCUCUCUCUCUAGGUUCCCCCUGUACUAUGAGAUAUCUGGUCUCUCUCUCUCUAGGUUCCCCCUGUACUAUGAGAUAUCUGGUCUCUCUCUCUCUAGGUUCCCCCUGUACUAUGAGAUAUCUGGUCUCUCUCUCUCUAGGUUCCCCCUGUACUAUGAGAUAUCUGGUCUCUCUCUCUCUAGGUUCC